rnacentral:pre_miRNA from 1 species
CAAGUACUCCCUCCGUCCAGAAUUACUUGUCAUCAAAAUGGAUGUGCCUAGAACUAAAAUACAUCUAGAUACAUCCAUUUCAAUGACAAGUAUUUUCGGACGGAGGGAGUACAAG